AUUGAACGCUGGCGGCAGGCCUAACACAUGCAAGUCGAACGAGUGGCGGACGGGUGAGUAAUAUCUGGGAAUCUGCCUGAUGGAGGGGGAUAACUACGGGAAACUGUAGCUAAUACCGCAUACCAUCAAAUGUGCCCAUAUGGGAUUAGCUUGUUGGUGGGGUAACGGCGCACCAAGGCGACGAUCCCUAGCUGGUCUGAGAGGAUGACCAGCCACACUGGAACUGAGACACGGUCCAGACUCCUACGGGAGGCAGCAGUGGGGAAUAUUGCACAAUGGGCGCAAGCCUGAUGCAGCCAUGCCGCGUGUAUGAAGAAGGCCUUCGGGUUGUAAAGUACUUUCAGCGGGGAGGCGUUACCCGCAGAAGAAGCACCGGCUAACUCCGUGCCAGCAGCCGCGGUAAUUC
rnacentral:rRNA from 1 species